AUUGAACGCUGGCGGCAGGCAUAACACAUGCAAGUCGAACGAGUGGCGAACGGGUGAGUAAUGUCUGGGAAACUGCCUGAUGGAGGGGGAUCACUAGUGGAAACGGUAGCUAAUACCGCAUACCAUCAGAAGAGCCUAGAGGGGAUUGGCUGGUGGGUGGGGUAACGGCUCGCCAGGGCGACGAGCCCUAGCUGGGCGGAGAGGAUGACGGGCCACACGGGAAUGGAGCCACGGUCCGAACUCCUACGGGGGGCAGCAGUGGGGAAUAUUGCACAAUGGGCGCAAGCCUGAUGCAUCCAUGCCGGGUGGAUGAAGAAGGCCUUCGGUUUGUAAAGUACGUUCAGCGGGGAGGCGUUACCCGAAUAAGAAGCACCGGCUAACUCCGUGCCAGCAGCCGCGGUAAUUC
rnacentral:rRNA from 1 species